CCUACGGGUGGCAGCAGUGGGGAAUAUUGGACAAUGGGCGAAAGCCUGAUCCAGCCAUGCCGCGUGUGUGAAGAAGGCCUUCGGGUUGUAAAGCACUUUCAGUGGGGAAGAAAGCCUUGGGGCUAAUACCCUCGAGGAAGGACAUCACCCACAGAAGAAGCACCGGCUAACUCCGUGCCAGCAGCCGCGGUAAUACGGAGGGUGCGAGCGUUAAUCGGAAUUACUGGGCGUAAAGCGCGCGUAGGCGGUCUGAUAAGCCGGUUGUGAAAGCCCCGGGCUCAACCUGGGAACGGCAUCCGGAACUGUCAGGCUAGAGUGCAGGAGAGGAAGGUAGAAUUCCCGGUGUAGCGGUGAAAUGCGUAGAGAUCGGGAGGAAUACCAGUGGCGAAGGCGGCCUUCUGGACUGACACUGACGCUGAGGUGCGAAAGCGUGGGUAGCAAACAGGAUUAGAUCCCCCUGUAGUC
rnacentral:rRNA from 1 species